rnacentral:rRNA from 1 species
GACGAACGCUGGCGGCGUGCUUAACACAUGCAAGUCGAACGAUGAAGAAGAGACACGCGAACUUCGGUUCAAAUUUCACUUCGGAUUAGUGGCAGACGGGUGAGUAACGCGUGAGCAACCUACCUCUUACAAAGGGAUAGCCUCGGGAAACCGUGAUUAAUACCAUAUGACACAUUCAUAAGGCAUCUUAAGAAUGUUAAAGCUACGGCGGUAAGAGAUGGGCUCGCGUCCCAUUAGCUAGUUGGUGAGGUAACGGCCCACCAAGGCGACGAUGGGUAACCGGCCUGAGAGGGUGAACGGUCACAUUGGAACUGAGACACGGUCCGAACUCCUACGGGAGGCAGCAGUGGGGAAUAUUGCACAAUGGAGGGAACUCUGAUGCAGCGACGCCGCGUGAGCGAUGAAGGAAUUCGUUUCGUAAAGCUCUGUUCUAUGGGAAGAAAAGGACUGUACCAUAGGAGAAAGCCCCGGCUAAAUACGUG